GACAACAUGGCCGAGUGGUCAAGGCGCAUCCCUGCUAUACUAAGCACCUCGGAUUCUUCGAGGAUCGUAAGGAUGUACUCUCUGAGUGCGUGUGUUCGAAUCACACUGUUGUCG
rnacentral:tRNA from 1 species